rfam:Marinomonas sp. MWYL1, complete genome.
AUCUUUAUAAUACGUCGGUUUUUUGGUGAAGUGAGUUUGCGUUUUACAAUUAAUUUAAUAUUGAUUGUUCGUUCAUGCAUGUUUUCCCGGAGGGGGGUAUGGACAUUACGCAUUGCGCUUUUUGUGUUCAAUUU